AUUGAACGCUGGCGGAAUGCUUUACACAUGCAAGUCGAACGGCAGCACGGACUUCGGUCUGGUGGCGAGUGGCGAACGGGUGAGUAAUACAACGGAACGUGCCCAGUCGUGGGGGAUAACGUAGCGAAAGUUACGCUAAUACCGCAUACGAUCUACGGAUGAAAGCGGGGGACCGUAAGGCCUCGCGCGAUUGGAGCGGCCGAUGUCAGAUGAGGUAGUUGGUGAGGUAAAGGCUCACCAAGCCGACGAUCUGUAGCUGGUCUGAGAGGACGACCAGCCACACUGGGACUGAGACACGGCCCAGACUCCUACGGGAGGCAGCAGUGGGGAAUUUUGGACAGUGGGCGCAAGCCUGAUCCAGCCAUUCCGCGUGCAGGACGAAGGCCUUCGGGUUGUAAACUGCUUUUGUACGGAACGAAAAGGCUCUGGUUAAUACCUGGGGCUCAUGACGGUACCGUAAGAAUAAGCACCGGCUAACUACGUGCCAGCCGCCGCAGUAA
rnacentral:rRNA from 1 species